rnacentral:rRNA from 1 species
GUUAUCGUUUAUUUGAUAGUACCUUACUACAUGGAUACCUGUGGUAAUUCUAGAGCUAAUACAUGCUGAAAACCUCGACUUCGGAAGGGGUGUAUUUAUUAGAUAAAAAACCAAUGCCCUUCGGGGCUCCUUGGUGAAUCAUAAUAACUUAACGAAUCGCAUGGCCUUGCGCCGGCGAUGGUUCAUUCAAAUUUCUGCCCUAUCAACUUUCGAUGGUAGGAUAGUGGCCUACCAUGGUGGCAACGGGUAACGGGGAAUUAGGGUUCGAUUCCGGAGAGGGAGCCUGAGAAACGGCUACCACAUCCAAGGAAGGCAGCAGGCGCGCAAAUUACCCAAUCCCGACACGGGGAGGUAGUGACAAUAAAUACUGAUACGGGGCUCUUUUGGGUCUCGUAAUUGGAAUGAGUACAAUCUAAAUCCCUUAACGAGGAACAAUUGGAGGGCAAGUCUGGUGCCAGCAGCCGCGGUAAUUCCAGCUCCAAUAGCGUAUAUUAAAGUUGUUGCAGUUAAAAAGCUCGUAGUUGAACCUUGGGUCUGGCUGGCCGGUCCGCCUCACCGCGAGUACUGGUCCGGCUGGACCUUUCCUUCUGGGGAAUCUCAUGGCCUUCACUGGCUGUGGGGGGAACCAGGACUUUUACUGUGAAAAAAUUAGAGUGUUCAAAGCAGGCCUUUGCUCGAAUACAUUAGCAUGGAAUAAUAGAAUAGGACGUGCGGUUCUAUUUUGUUGGUUUCUAGGACCGCCGUAAUGAUUAAUAGGGAUAGUCGGGGGCGUCAGUAUUCAGCUGUCAGAGGUGAAAUUCUUGGAUUUGCUGAAGACUAACUACUGCGAAAGCAUUCGCCAAGGAUGUUUUCAUUAAUCAGGGAACGAAAGUUAGGGGAUCGAAGACGAUCAGAUACCGUCGUAGUCUUAACCAUAAACUAUGCCGACUAGGGAUCGGACGGUGUUUCUAUUAUGACCCGUUCGGCACCUUACGAGAAAUCAAAGUUUUUGGGUUCUGGGGGGAAUACGG